GAAUAGGAUCCUUCUUCGUACGCUGGCUAGAGUGUAUAUCUAUUAGUUGUUAUUAGUUGUUAUUGUUAUCGUUGUUAUUGUUGUUAUUAUCAUUAUUAUUAUUAUUAUUCUUGUUUGUAUCUCUUUUCCUUUUUCUUUUCUCUUUUUUUUUUUUUUUGAUCAUUUUUUCAAAAGAUCAAGUUUUCAAUCAAUAUUUACGCGCGAAUUAUAAUUAAACAUAGAUAGUGCCCUGGAAAAAAUAUAAAUGGUGUCCCUUUUAUUGGCCAAUAUCGCUUCGAGAGAUUAUAUAUAAAAGGCGCAAAAUGGAACGACAGAGAAGAAAACGAAGAGGAGCCCUAAACAUUUACAACGUACAUUCCUGAGGCUAUCUUUUUUUUUUUCUUUUUUUUUUCCUGCUCGACCCAGAACUCAUCGAAACCGUAGAGCGAAACGAACGAAAGCUAUCGUCGAUUGGCAUGAGGAGGGAGGGGAGAGAGAGAGAGAGAGAGAGAGAGAGAGAGAGAAUGGCUGUUGGCUUCCGAAAAAAAAAAAGAAAGAAAGAAAGAAAGAAAGAAAGAAAAAAAUGAAGAAAAAAAAGGAAAAGAGAAAGGAAGAAAAAAAACCAGAGAAAAUGAAUCGAAUCCACGGUACAACCCUUUACCUUUACCCAAAAAGAAAGGAAAAGCACGGAAGUAUUUUACAACUGGCUAAACACAAAAUCCUUUCCCCUCCCGGGGAAAAGGUAUAAUACUUAGGAAUAAUACCUGAGAGAGAAACUUAGAAAUAUUUUUCCAUUGAACGACACUUGAUACCGUUAGGUCACGAUAAUUUUUGCUAGUUUCUUUUUUCUAAGUUUAUCUGCAGCGCAGCGCAGUAAAGAAAAAGAAAAAGAAAAAAAAAAGAAAAAAAAGAAAAAAGAAAAAAGAAAAAAAAAACACACACACAGAAGAAGAAGAAGAAGAAAAAGAAGAAGAAGAAUAUUUUCAAAAUUAUUUUUCACCUGGAUUUUUUUGAAAAAGAAUUAUUAAGGAAGAAAAAAUAUUCACGGACUGAUUUUACGGACGGACAUUUUUCUUUAAAAUUUUUCUAAUACUAUCAUAUUAAUUUCAAUGAAACAAUUGAUUUCUAUGAAACAAUUUUACGAUCAAGGAAUAUAAAAUAAAUAUGAUUUAAAAAUUAUAUUAAAAGUUGUUGUAUGAAUAAUAUAACGCCAUGUUACCAAUUAACGGGUAUAAAUAGAUUAGCUCUUACCCCCUGUUUUUCAUCUUAUUGUUAAACGAAAAAGAAACUUUUUUAAUAGUUUUUACUCGAUAUUGACGUCUCUUCACUCGGUGCUCUAUUUAAUCAAUGUAACUACUCACUAUGGUCACUGCGUCGUUUAUAUCUACGUCUAUCCAUACCUACGUAAGUAUUAACGUACCUAUUUAUAUUGCUUGACACACUAGUUAAAGAUUUUUAUGUUACCUAAUCAAAUAGUCCAUAAGAGACCAUUUUCCAUAGGUACUUACAUUCAUAUUUAACUUCGGCUCUUCAUCCUACGAAACUCGUUUGAAUUUAUAAACAACUAGAAAUAUAAAAGAGAGAGAGAGAGAGAGAGAGAGAGAGAGAGAGAGAGAAAGGAGGAGAAAAACUAUGUCAAAUAAAUAAAUACAGAAAAAUAUAAUUAUUUACGUGUCAGAAUUUUUGCGACAAAGUGAAUGUCAUCGAAGUUAAAGUUAAAUAUUAUUUAUAUAUCUAUACUGAUUAUUCUUAUAGAUAUGGAUAAAUAACGAAGAGAUUGAUUGCUACGAUUUUAAUGGUUUAAGAAAAAAUAAAGAAAGAAAAAGAAAAAAAAAAAAAAAAAAAUAAGAGAAACAAAACGAGACGAAAAAAAAAACCAAAAAAUUAUUCCCCAUAAAAUUCAUCGAAAGCAUGAUUCAAUUAAAAAUUCAUUCGAGUCUCGAGAUUUAUUGUAUAAUAAGCACUUAAGAACGUCUUCUUCGUUUGCUCUCGUUUCAAAUACUUCCGAUACUAUAAUAGUACUGACUCAUUGACCUCGAAAUAGAGUGACUCUCUCUCUCUCUCUCUCUCUCUCUCUCUCUCUCUCUCACUAAACGUUAUGUUUGAUUAACGAUAGCGAUUGAAUUAUUCGAUCGUGAAUGUGUGUUGAAUUGUACGUGACACGAAAGACUAGCAUGAGUUUCUUCACGCUUUUGUAAUAAAUGGUUCCACGCUUUGUUUCUGAAUUAUCCAUUGCCGACCUUACAUUUGAUUUCGCACGAGCGAACCAUUUAAAAAGAAAAAAAAAAGAAAAAAAAAAAGAAAGAAAAAAAGAAAAAGAAAAAGGAAAGAAAAAGAAAGAAAAAAAAGAAAGAAAGAAUGUCAC